GAGACAGCAGUCGCCACGGUAAUACAGAGGGUGCGAGCGUUAAUCGGAUUUACUGGGCGUAAAGCGUGCGUAGGCGGCUUCUUAAGUCGGAUGUGAAAUCCCUGAGCUUAACUUAGGAAUUGCAUUCGAUACUGGGAAGCUAGAGUAUGGGAGAGGAUGGUAGAAUUCCAGGUGUAGCGGUGAAAUGCGUAGAGAUCUGGAGGAAUACCGAUGGCGAAGGCAGCCAUCUGGCCUAAUACUGACGCUGAGGUACGAAAGCAUGGGGAGCAAACAGGAUUAGAUACCCCAGUAGUCCCUGUCUCUUAUAC
rnacentral:rRNA from 1 species